rnacentral:rRNA from 1 species
CCCCUAGAUGUUCUGGGCCGCACGCGCGCUACACUGAACAGUUCAACAAGUCUUAACCUUGGCCGAUAGGUCUGGGUAAUCUUUGAACGCUGUUCGUGAUUGGGAUAGACCUUUGCAAUUAUGGGUCUUCAACGAGGAAUUCCUAGUAAACGCAAGUCAUCAGCUUGCAUUGAUUACGUCCCUGCCCUUUGCACACACCGCCCGUCGCACCUACCGAUUGAAUGGUCCGGUGAAAUCUCGGGACGGCGGCUUGGUCGCUUGCGUCCGACUGCUGAAACUUGAUUAAACCAUAUCAUUUAGAGGAAGGUGAAGUCGUAACA